CGUAGGUGGCAAGCGUUAUCCGGAAUUAUUGGGCGUAAAGCGCGCGCAGGCGGUUUCUUAAGUCUGAUGUGAAAGCCCACGGCUCAACCGUGGAGGUCAUUGGAACUGGGAACUUGAGUGCAGAAGAGAAAGCGGAAUUCCACGUGUAGCGGUGAAAUGCGUAGAGAUGUGGAGGAACACCAGUGGCGAAGGCGGCUUUUGGUCUGUAACUGAACGCUGAGGCGCGAAAAGCGUGGGAGCAAACAGGACUU
rnacentral:rRNA from 1 species